rnacentral:rRNA from 1 species
AUUGAACGCUGGCGGCAGGCCUAACACAUGCAAGUCGAGCGGAUGAGAGGAGCUUGCUCCUUGAUUUAGCGGCGGACGGGUGAGUAAUGCCUAGGAAUCUGCCUGGUAGUGGGGGAUAACGUUCCGAAAGGAACGCUAAUACCGCAUACGUCCUACGGGAGAAAGCAGGGGACCUUCGGGCCUUGCGCUAUCAGAUGAGCCUAGGUCGGAUUAGCUAGUUGGUGAGGUAAUGGCUCACCAAGGCGACGAUCCGUAACUGGUCUGAGAGGAUGAUCAGUCACACUGGAACUGAGACACGGUCCAGACUCCUACGGGAGGCAGCAGUGGGGAAUAUUGGACAAUGGGCGAAAGCCUGAUCCAGCCAUGCCGCGUGUGUGAAGAAGGUCUUCGGAUUGUAAAGCACUUUAAGUUGGGAGGAAGGGCAGUAAGUUAAUACCUUGCUGUUUUGACGUUACCGACAGAAUAAGCACCGGCUAACUUCGUGCCAGCAGCCGCCGUAAUAC